rnacentral:rRNA from 1 species
UACGUAGGGGGCAAGCGUUGUCCGGAUUUAUUGGGCGUAAAGAGCGUGUAGGCGGCUUGCCAGGUCUGCUGUGAAAACUCGAGGCUCAACCUCGAGAUGUCGGCGGAAACCGUCUGGCUAGAGUCCGGAAGAGGAGAGUGGAAUUCCUGGUGUAGCGGUGAAAUGCGCAGAUAUCAGGAAGAACACCUAUGGCGAAGGCAGCUCUCUGGGACGGUACUGACGCUGAGACGCGAAAGCGUGGGGAGCGAACGGG